AGAAUCCAUUCUCUAUUAGAGUUGGUUGGAGAUGUUAAAGUAAGUUAUUUGGUAGCUUUGAACCAAAAAAAAAAAGAAAAGGUUAUUUGGUAGCAGCAGAGAAUGGAGAGCUCCGGGGAAUUGGUGCCUUUUCCGUUGCUGAUGACUUGCAAUUACCGGGCAUGUACCAUCCCUUACAGGUUUCCUUCCAACAAUCCCACUAAACCAACGCCCACUGAGCUUUCCUGGAUCCACGUCUUCAUGAAUUCCAUCCCUUCUUUUAGGAAGAGGGCCGAGAGCGAUGACACUGUUCCAGAUGCUCUUUCUCGAGCCGAAAAGUUUGCUCACAGGUACACUGAAAUACUCGAGGAUUUGAAGAAAGAUCCUAAAAGUCACGGAGGGCCUCCUGAUGGCAUUCUUCUUUGUCGCCUUAGGGAGCAAGUGCUUAGGGAAUUGGGAUUCAGAGAUAUAUUUAAAAAAGUUAAGGACGAAGAAAAUGCAAAGGCUAUAUCCUUAUUUGAGGAUGUAGUACAUCUAAAUGAUGCUAUUGAGGAUGAAGCUAAGCGUAUGGAGAACUUGGUCAAAGGGAUUUUUGCAGGAAACCUAUUUGAUCUUGGCUCGGCACAGCUUGCGGAGCUAUUUUCAAGGGAUGGCAUUUCUUUUUUAGCUAGUUGCCAAAACCUCGUUCCUCGACCUUGGGUUAUUGAUGACUUGGAUACUUUCAUAACAAAAUGGAGCAGAGAAUCAUGGAAAAAGGCUGUAAUCUUUGUGGAUAAUUCUGGUGCAGAUAUUAUUCUGGGCAUUCUGCCAUUUACGAGAGAAUUACUUCGUCAUGGGACACAGGUUAUUUUGGCAGCUAAUGACUUGCCUUCUAUUAACGAUGUUACUUACCCUGAGUUGGUAGAGAUAAUAUCUAAGUUAAAAGAUGAGCAGGGGAAGCUUGUAGGUGUGGACACAUCCAACCUUUUAGUUGCGAAUUCUGGAAAUGAUUUACCAGUUAUUGAUCUUACGGGAAUAUCACAAGAGCUUGCCUACUUGGCAAGCGAUGCUGACCUUGUCAUUCUGGAAGGCAUGGUUUCAAAAAGAUAAUUAUUACCUGACUAGCAACUGAUUUGACUUAACAACCGGAUCGUUUCACAUGGAUUAAGACUGAGGUGGUAGUUCUUCCUCAGGGCCGUGGUAUAGAGACAAACCUUUAUGCUCAAUUCAGAUGUGAUUCCCUGAAGAUUGGAAUGGUGAAGCACCCAGAGGUUGUUGAGUUUCUUGGAGGAAGGCUUUAUGAUUGCGUGUUCAAAUAUAACGAGGUCUUGGAAUAGAUGUAGUUAUUGACUACUUAUAUCCUACAAUAGGCACAUUCAACAACAAAAAAUGUUGUAAAACUAUUUGGUUGAUAUCACUUGCAAGAUCAAGGCACAAACUAAAAUUAUUGAAGAAAUUUUAGUGGACAUCACCAGUAAGAAUACUGCAGAAGCUGGUUUAAGAUUGUUAGUUUCCUAUUAUCUAUUGCUAUUGCAAACAUGUGGUGAAGGGCAUGCCAACUUGACCUAAUAGUUGUUCUAGCGCUUAGUGGUAACUGGUAAGCUACAAGAUAGUAUGUAUGGUGUUAUUGGCAACUGGGUGAGGUGGUUUUUCAAUUUGUUAAGACUGUCAAUUUGAGACACAAUAAGAGCAGGAGAGUUAUUAAUGAAGGAAAAUAGCUUAGUUAUUCUAUUUCCGACUCAUGUAGCAUAAUGUGAUCAUCCGGUAUAUGUAGCAGUCAAGUGACUCUGUGACUUUGGGUGUAAGACAGUCUCUGUGUUGGAAGUUGAAAUGGGACACAAUUAGUGUCAAAGAUCAGUGUUAAACCGCAGUGAAGGGUGAGAGUCGAGAAUGGCAAAUGACUUGGAAUAAUGUUUCAUCCUUUUCGACGGACGAAACAAUAACGUUAAUAAUACUCAUGGUCCAACCCAUAGCUAGCUUUGGUGAAUAUACAAUUAUUCCCUUACAGCCUGGGGCCAGCGAGGGGUAAAAGAGUCUCACAAACAAUAGGAGAAUAUAACAGGCUGUCGAUGGAAACGUAGGAAUGUGCGGGUGACGGUGAAUGAGUGAUGACCACUCACCUUGUUUAUUAUUACCUAUUACCUAUUACCUAUACUAUAUGCCGAAAGUUUUUAGUUCUUCUCUUCACCGACGAAUUGAUUUCCUCUUCACCUACACUUGCACAGAGAAUAUGAGCUCUCUUCUUCAAAGUUUUCAGAGCAAAGAAGCUCUGCCCAUGUCGCAACCUACAGAAGAAGAAAGAGGAGAAGGACUUGGCGUACGCAAAAGGCUGUCUUCUCUCUCUCUAAGGAUGAACAUGCGCAUGAUGAGGUCUACUUGUCAACAACAACCCAUCCUCUCAUUCUACUCCUCCACCACCUCCUCCUCAUGGGCAUUUCGCCGAUCCAAAUCCUUGUCCUCUAUGGGAGAAUACACGGGCAAUUCCAUUAGGAAAUGGUGGGAUUGGGGAUUGGGCUGGAUCAUGUCCAAGAAGCCCGCCUUUGCCAACGAUCUGGAAAUGAAUGAAGAAGAGAAAGCCGUAUUGGGAUGCAACAGCAAGGGCAGCUGGAGGCACGUAUUUUACAAAGUAAGGUCGGAGCUACGGAGGUUCAUCGGAUCCGGCAACAAUGUGGGUCUACCUCAAACCUUCCGGUACAACUACUCCAACAACUUCGAUGACAACUUAAUCAGGAACAACUGAUGGAUUACUCACUCUACUACAGUAUGUGCUAAGCUAGCUCCUUUUGUGAUGUUGGUUAAUUCAUUGAUUGAUUCGAGUGGUUUUUAUUUUAUUUUUUAUAAAUAUUAAUAAUAAUAGAUCGGAGUCCACAUUAGUUCGCAGCGAGUACGUACGUAAAUGUAUAAAGUGAAUUAUUUUUAUCUUCAUAAGAUAAGUCCAUUACGUUGUAU